CUUUGAUUUCACAAUUUCCCACUUUAUUAAGUUAUUAAUUAUCAUCAUCAUGUUAUUGACAUUUAUUUCUUUAUUAGCUAUUUUGGUGAAGUUGGAGAGAGGUCUGAAAAGAAUUGGUGCUCAAGCAAGGUCCUAAAUUUCAACCCUGAUCACACAGAAUGUUGGGACUUGUGUGGAUUUCCCCAAUGUACUUAAUUUCCAAAUAUCAAAUCUGAACUUGUGGAAAUGUAAGUCCUGAAUUGGAUCCCUUGUCAUCUUUGUCAAUCAAAUAUUUACUAUGUUUGGAAGUCUCUUUAGACGGUAAUGAUCACCAAUCUUUCCAGUUCAAGAAAAUUAAAGCAGGUUUAAAGUU
rnacentral:lncRNA from 1 species